GAGUUUGAUCAUGGCUCAGGACGAACGCUGGCGGCGUGCUUAACACAUGCAAGUCGAACGAUGAAGCCCUUCGGGGUGGAUUAGUGGCGAACGGGUGAGUAACACGUGGGCAAUCUGCCCUUCACUCUGGGACAAGCCCUGGAAACGGGGUCUAAUACCGGAUAACACUCGCCGAGGCAUCUCGGUGGGUUGAAAGCUCCGGCGGUGAAGGAUGAGCCCGCGGCCUAUCAGCUUGUUGGUGAGGUAGAAGCUCACCAAGGCGACGACGGGUAGCCGGCCUGAGAGGGCGACCGGCCACACUGGGACUGAGACACGGCCCAGACUCCUACGGGAGGCAGCAGUGGGGAAUAUUGCACAAUGGGCGAAAGCCUGAUGCAGCGACGCCGCGUGAGGGAUGACGGCCUUCGGGUUGUAAACCUCUUUCAGCAG
rnacentral:rRNA from 1 species